UCGGCUGACGGCUCAGUAACACGUGGAUAAUCUGCCCUUAGGUGGAGAAUAAUCUCGGGAAACUGAGAAUAAUACUCCAUAUGUCUAGGAUGCUGGAAUGCACCUAGACUUAAAGCUCCGGCGCCUAAGGAUGAGUCUGCGGACUAUCAGGUUGUAGUCAGGGUAAAGACCUGACUAGCCUACGACGGAUACGGGUUGUGAGAGCAAUAACCCGGAGAUGAUAUCUGAGACACGAUAUCAGGCCCUACGGGGCGCAGCAGGCGCGAAAACUUCACACUGUGCGAAAGCACGAUGAGGGAAUCCCAAGUGCUUGCUCGCAAGAGUAAGCUGUUUCUUUGUUUAAAAUGCAUAGAGAGUAAGAGCUGGGUAAGACGGGUGCCAGCCGCCGCGGUAAUACCUGCAGCUCGAGUGGUGGCCGCUAUUAUUGGGCCUAAAACGUCCGUAGCCGGUUCAAUAAAUGCCUGGGUAAAUCGUGUAGCUUAACUAUACGAAUUCCGGGUAGACUGUUUAACUUGAGACCGGGAGAGGCUAGAGGUACUCCUGGGGUAGAGGUGAAAUUCUGUAAUCCUAGGGGGACCACCAGUGGCGAAGGCGUCUAGCUAGAACGGGUCUGACGGUGAGGGA
rnacentral:rRNA from 1 species